AUUAGUUUACAGCAAUAAACACACUUGAUAAUUUUACUUUCUUAUGAGAAUAGCAAUAAUGCAAAUUUAAUAGAAUCACCAAAGGUGGGUGGACUAGAGUGAAAUAGACAGCCUAUGAAAAUAUCAUUUAGCUGAUCUUAUUAUUUGAUUCAAUAUAAUAAAAACAUGAAUGCUGCAUAUUUGAUAAAUAUGUUCCUUAAAUUCUGCUUAUAUUAUCACUUGGGGUAUAAUACAUGAGUAACUGUAUCUAUUUAUUAUUAAAAGCUGUUUGAGGAUUUUAAAAAUAUUUAUUCCACACAACAAUAAUAAUGGAUAAUAAUCAUCUCUACAGUAAAGAGAUUUUAUGGCUAUUAAACUGAUAACUUUUAUUGCUUUGCUAUAGUAUUAUGAAUUUUGUUCUUAAAAAAUAUCAGAUUUUUCUUAUGAAAGAUAAGUUACCAUCACUGAGUGACUUUGUCUAAGUUCUUAAUUUCAGUGCUAAUUUAAAUGACUCCAUUGUCCUACUACACUGAGGAGGGGGAAAUAAAUGAGUCACCUUGUUUCAAAAUGUGAGGAAGUGUCAUCUUUGAUAUUAUUAGUCUCUGCAUUGUGUUAGGCAAGCUGAUUUUAUGUGCUGGAGCAAAACCCAUGGCUCAUAAACUCAACAGAGGUUUGAAAAUCUAAAGUACUUGCAAAUUCUUAAGAACACUACCAGAACAUGAUUUGGACCAUUUCUUCCGGCCUUUUGGAGUUCGCCUUCUGUGAUUUGAACCUACAUAUCUUACUGGGUUUCUUGAAAUAUCCAAUUUGAUUUACAUUUUUAUAUUUACCUUAUUCACUGGAUUGUCAUUUCUAUGGUCAAUAAUCAAUUUGGUACUUCUAUACUGUUGUCCUUUCUCACCUCCAAUUUUUAAACAUCUUUUUGGAUUUUAAAAUAUUAUUAUACAUUCCUGCUAAUCAGGUUUGUAAUUUUUAUUUCAGUGGUGUGUGUCAUUUUGUUAAUUCCAUGUUUUUCAUUUUCAUGCCCUCCUCAGCUGUAUUCUGUUUUUUUCCAUAAAACAUCUGAUUUGCUUGAUGUUUGCUUGAUAUUUUCCAUAUGUAAGCUAGUGACACCCUACUAUAGCUAUAAAUCUAAGUUUUCCCAUAAAAUGUGUUCCUCACACAAAUGGAGGAAGGAUUGCAACAUGAGUCUCAUCAUUCCAUGUGAAUCCUGCCUCAAGUUAUCUCCAAAUCUCUGUUACAGAAUUUGUUUUUAAGUGCAGCAUUCCUUUUAAUUAUUCCCUAUUCCAGGGUUACGUGAAAGAGAAUUCAGAGGUCUGCAGGUAAGCCACCCUCAAGAUCUUGGCUCCCCAAUCUAGCAAUAAUAUUCAGCAUCCUCUAAAUAUUACACUGCCUGUUUGUUCUACUGGUUGCUGCCUUUUUGAUAUAAAUGGAUCUGGCAAGAUUCUGGGAUUACAAGGUCUGGGCCAGUGGUGCAUAAUAAUUAAAUCAUUUCUUACUUAUCCCUUAUUUUACUUUGGAGGGUUGUGGCAGCAUGGACAUUCCUACUGGCUUGAAAAGUGUGAGGUUUGUGAUUACAACCUGGGACAGGUUUUAAAAUUUGACCUCAUAAUCCCUGUAUACCUCUAGCUUCAGGUUCCGAGAGUCACAACAUAAAGAAAAUUCUAGGAGUUCCCAUGGUGGCGCAGUGGUUAACGAA